AAACAGAGCAAAAGAGGGGCGGCGGACAAGGACGGAUGGGCAAGAAAAACUGAGGGAAUCCAGGAAAGGGCCACGAAUGAGAGAAAAAGGGGAACAAAAGGAAGGGAAAGGGCUUAAGCUAAAACAGAGUGGCAAAAGGAAAUUCGAUGGAAGAAAUUGGAGCAGUUGCCGCCGCUAGAAUCCACCGCCACCACCGCAAAUUGCUAUUACCGCCUGAGAAAUCCUCACCAAGGAAGCACUAUAAGUCAUUUUUUUUUCUUCGAAUUUCAGUCUGCCUUUCAAGCACAAAUGCUGAAAAUUCCAACCCCAAGCACGUCUUUUGUGAAUCUGUUGUUGCAAUUUCUUGUCGAUUGUCUGCAAUUCGAGCACACACAAUCUAUGUGUUUGAUUUUGACUGAAAUCUUUGUUUUCUAAACAAUUUUGGGUCCGAUUGUAGUCUCAAUGGAGCAAAGGAUUGAUGAAAUUUUUAAUUCCCUUAACCUGUUUGAUGAAAUGCCUGAUUGAAAGUCCUAAUUGAAAGAUGAUUUGUUUGCAUUUUUACAUAUGAAGAAACCGGAUAAGUCAGCGAGCUCGUCUUCUUGCAUUUGAGAAAUUUGGUGUAUUGGUGUCUUGCACUUGUUCUGUUUUUCGUUCCCUUAUGCUUCCCUUUGUAUGAAUCCGAAUUAACGUUUGUGAAUUUCGUUGUCUGAUGGGGAAUGGCUAGAGUUAAAACUGUUUUUUGGUAUUGCCUGAUAAGAAGACGAAAAUGGCCGUACUGAUGCUUAAACCGUUUGGAGAAGAUGAUCAUUUGACUAGGUUUAUAAUUUUAGCCCCUCCAUCCUCUCUUUCUUCGUAAUUUAACCCCCAAAGUUUUUAGGACUUCAUAAUUUGACCCCAAGACUUUUAUAAAGGCUUUCAAUUGGGUCCCUGCUAAAAUUUGCAAAUUGGUCCUUGAGCUUUA
rnacentral:lncRNA from 1 species